AAAAGUUUUUCUCUUGAAAGCAUGUCCAUAUAUAAGCCAUGGCAUGUUGGUUGCUGUCUCUGUAUCGGUUUAUUUGGUGCUAUAAUAUUAAUCUGUCUCUGCAUACUAGCCUUCGGCGUAUUUAUCCACCGAGGAUGCUCCGAGGACACGUACAAGCACGCGGCGGUUUCUGCGGACUCUAAACUUUGCUCGGACAUUGGCAGAGAUAUACUGCAACAAGGAGGAUCGGCAGUAGAUGGCGCCAUUGCAGCUCUGUUGUGCACCUCACUGGUAAACCCUCAGAGCAUGGGCCUGGGAGGAGGCUCCAUAUUCACUGUUAGGGACAAAACUGGCAAGGUGAAAACCUUCAGUUCGAGAGAGACUGUUCCACAGUCAUUCAAAGCUGAUUUGCUGAAGGGCUGUCCAACAUCUGUCACAUUUAUCACAGGUAGUCAGUGGAUUGGCGUUCCUGGAGAUUUGCGUGGGUAUGAGGUGGUUCACAGAAUGUACGGGAAGCUGCCCUGGGCCAGGCUGUUUGAGCCCACCAUUAGACUGGCCAGAGAAGGAUUUCCUAUGCCACCCUUCCUGGGAUCCCUCCUUAACAUCACACUCAUAGGAAACCUGGUGAAAGCAACAUCACUCUGUGAGGUGUUCUGCCACAAGAACAAGACUGUGCUGGGCAUAGGAGACAUGUUGAAGUUCCCUAAACUGGCAGAAACCAUGAAUAAACUCCAGAUUGUUAUAUUUUCUUGUCCGUUUAAGGAUUGCUAACAUGGAUGGACAUGCUUGUCUCCCCAUUUAGGUGGGACCCUUACCAUGGAGGAUCUGAAGUCAUUCAGAGUCAGAGUGGAGGAUGCCUGGACUGUUCCUCUUGGCGAUUACCAGAUGGACAUCCCUCCACCUCCUGCAGGGGGAGUCAUGCUUGCCUUCAUCCUCAACCUUGUUAAAGGGUUCCAUUUCACCCCCAGGUCCAUGGAGGAGGACCAGAAGGUCCUGACCUAUCACUGCUACAUAGAGGCAGCUAAAUUUGCUAACGGACAGAGGAAGAGCGCUCACGAUCCUGUUUUCAACACUAAAAAAGAUGCAUCGUAUAUGGUGGACUCUGACUUUGCUGAUCGGAUCAGGGUAUUGAUCAGUAAAAACCGUACCUAUAAUGACUCCUACUACAACAUCACACCUUCCCCUGACCGCUUUGGGACCACACACGUGUCAGUCCUGGCUGAAGAUGGAUCUGCAGUCUCUGUCACAAGUACCAUCAACCAAAUUUUUGGUGCAGGGAUUUACUCCAGUAGAACAGGCAUCAUCCUCAACAACGAGCUGGCUGACUUCUGUUUUAGAGCAGAGAGAUUGAGUGCAGGUGAACAGCCUCCAUCUUCAAUGGCUCCAGCUAUACUAAGCUCCAGCUCUGGGAAAAACACCCUUGUAAUUGGGGGAUCAGGGGGUAGCAUGAUCAUGACCGCCAUGGCCCUGUCCAUAAUGAACCACCUUUGGUUGGGGAUGAGUUUGAAAGAUUCCAUUGCUGCUCCCAUAGUGUUCGUCGAUGGCAACAACAAUGUGAAGUUUGAGAAUGGCUUUGAUAAGUCUGUGAUAGAGGCCCUUAAGAUCAUUGGACACAGAGUGACAGACUACGAAUACUUCUUCAAUGUGGUCAAUGCUGUGGCCAAGGAGGACGGAUGCAUCACAGCCGUGUCAGAUGCCAGGAAGCAGGGCAAAUCUGCUGGCUACUGACCAAAGGUUUACAGCCAAUUAGUUGGCUUUAGAACACUGUACAGUAGGUCCCAGAGGACAGUACUUUUAGUGAGAUUUAUUUUUUGUAAUUCUAUUAUCUUCAUAUAUGAACAUUUUUAUCUAAACCAACAGUCCAGAGCCUUAAACAGAAUCAAAUGGCCCUCUUGACAAAAUACUGGAGUUUCUCAUUUUACCAAGUACAAACAAUUACAUGCUUGUUCUUCAUGACUAACUGUACAGUACACAUAGAUUAUAGCACAAGGGAGGUCCCGAAGGAACUCAAAUGGGAAGAGAAGGUCAGUACAGCCUGUACUAACAUGGGACUCAUACUGUGACCACAAGGACUUGUCAGAUUCAGGACAGGACAUGGUACAACAUGUUACAACUCAAUCCUACAAGUUCAUUUAUUAGUCCCUCUCCGGAGUGUUGCAGCAAUACUUUUAGACGCACACUUUGAGAUAAAACAGGCUUUUUGCAGCCCCCUUCAGUGUCAGAAAGGAGCUCCACUGCCUAAUAAUACUAAAGCACCCUUUGCUGACUCUAACAGCUACCCAAUCAGUUGCUGCCUAAUCUUAUUAAACUGGUGGAGAGAAUUGUGUUUGACCAAAUACAAUGCUACUUUUAAGAGAACAAAUUAACUACUGACUUUCAGCAUGCAUAUACAGAAAAGCACUCAACUUGUACUGUACUGACUCUGAUGACAGAUGAUUGGUUAAAAUAAAUGGAUAAUAAGAUGGUAGUUGAAGCUGUAUUGUUAGAUUUCAAUGCAGCCUUUGAUGUUCGAUCAUAAAUUGUUAUUGAAGAAACUCACAUUGGCUUUACAUCACUUGCCAUCACAUGGUUGGACAUCACAUGGUUGGACAAUUCCACAUUCUACAUGUCAGCACCCAAAGUGAGCUUGGUGAGCUCACAAAAUAAAUAAAAGAUUGUCAGCUUUAGAAUGAGUGAAUAAUAAUAAUAAUAAACUGGUCUUAAAUAAAUCUCAAACUAAAAGCAUUUUAUUUGGUUCAAAACAUUCUCUAGGCCCUAAACCUCAACUGGAGUUGUACAUAAAGGGUGUGACCAUUGAGCAAGUUGAGAAAGCUGAACUCCUAUGCACAGUACGAAUAACACUGGAUGGUCAAUUAUCAUGGGCAAGUCAUAUUGGCAAAGUUGUUGUGAAGAUGGGGAGGGGUAUGUCUUUUAUAAAAAGAGGGUAUGUGUUUGAGACAAAUCAACUUGGCAUGUAUAACAAGGCAAUUAGAAAUUCCAGACAAGCUCGUUUUCUAACUUGAUCACUAAGAUCGGGGUGGCAGGGUAGCCUAGUGGUUAGAGCGUUAGACUAGUAACCAAAAGGUUGCAAGUUCAAAUCCCUGAGCUGACAAGGUACAAAUCUGUCCUUCUGCCCCUGAACAGGCAGAAUUUGUUCUUAUCUGGCUUGCCAAGGUAAAAUUUAAACAUAAUCUGAAUGUGUUUGAGACAAAUCAACUUGGCAUGUAUAACAACCAUUGAUGACCUGAUUUAAUCCUACCCCUGCAAGCAAACCUGCAAACUUUCCUCCACAGCUAAAAGCUCAAAUAACACCUAGCUUUUCAUCUGGUGUUUUAUCUUUAUUCCACUUUAAUUAAAAUAUGCGGCCAGAUUCUCUCUGUGGUUUGGCGCCAACAAUAAGUCUUGUCUUGAUUUAGCUGGAGGAAGUUGUAAGACAUCCAAGUAUUUAAAUCACUAAUAGUCUAAUAAUUUAUCAGUGUAGCUAAAAUCCUCCGGUGACACAAAUGUAAAGUUGUGUAUCAAGUGACAACUGUAUUUUAGAAAAAUUCCAAUCUGGUUUUCGUGCCCACUACAGCACAGAGACAUCCUUUGUUAAGGUGGUAAAUGAUCUUAGCGCUAACACAGAUGCCAAACAGCUCUCCGUCCUUGUACUCUUGGAUUUAGGUGCUGCAUUCAACACUGUUGACCAUGAUGUCCUCUGGAAAGACUGGAGAGGUGGGUUGGCCUCUCAGGUCCAAUUCUAAAUUGGUUCAGGACCUAUUUGACAGGUUGAGUUUUUUUGUGACUCAUGGUGAACAUAACUCAGAGAAAAUACUACCACCUGAGGAACAUUGCCAAGGCGCGGCCAUUUCUCUCUCAGGCUGAUACAGAGAGACUCGUCCAUGCUUUUAUUAUAAGCAGGCUUGACUACUUUAGUGCUCUCCUGUUUGGUCUACCCAAGAAAGCUAUUGGUCAACUGCAAAACAUAUAGAAUGCUGCUGCACUGGUACUGACCAAGACCAGACGGAUAGCACACAUUACACUGGUUUUUACGGUCUCUGCACUGGCUGCCUGUGAGUUUUAGAAAUUCAUUUUAAGAUUCUUAUAUUGCUUUUUAAAUCAAUCCAUAAUUGUGUACCCCAAUACAUGUCGGACAUACUUUUUAAGUUAUGUACCCAGUAAGUCCCUCAGGUCCUCUGGUACUGGCCUUUUAACUAUUCCAAAGCCUAGGAUUAAGAGGCAUGGAAAGGCAGCCUUUAGUUACUAUGCCCCCAGCCUCUGGAACAGCCUGCCAGAGAUCCUCAGUGGGCUGAAACUGUGGACAUAUUUAAAAGAGAUCUUAAAACACCUUUUUAGCUUUGCUUUUCCUUAGUUCUUUUUAGUCAUUUAGUUUUUGUUAUUCUUUUUAUCCUCUUAUUGUGUAGUAAAUAUUUAAGUUGGUUUUUCCUGUGAAGCACAUUGCGUUGCAUUCCAUGUCUGCAAUGUGCUGUAUAAAUAAAGUUUGAUUUAUACUA